GACGAACGCUGGCGGCGUGCCUAAUACAUGCAAGUUGAGCGCUGAAGGUUGGUACUUGUACCAACUGGAUGAGCAGCGAACGGGUGAGUAACGCGUGGGGAAUCUGCCUUUGAGCGGGGGACAACAUUUGGAAGCGAAUGCUAAUACCGCAUAAAAACUUUAAACACAAGUUUUAAGUUUGAAAGAUGCAAUUGCAUCACUCAAAGAUGAUCCCGCGUUGUAUUAGCUAGUUGGUGAGGUAAAGGCUCACCAAGGCGAUGAUACAUAGCCGACCUGAGAGGGGGAUCGGCCACAUGGGGAAUGGGACAAGGCCCAAACUCCUACGGGAGGCAGCAGUAGGGAAUCUUCGGCAAUGGACGAAAGUCUGACCGAGCAACGCCGCGGGAGGGAAGAAGGUUUUCGGAUCGGAAAACUCUGUUGGUAGAGAAGAACGUUGGUGAGAGUGGAAAGCUCAUCAAGUGACGGUAACUACCCAGAAAGGGACGGCUAACUACGUG
rnacentral:rRNA from 1 species